rfam:Kluyvera ascorbata ATCC 33433 GKAS.assembly.012, whole genome shotgun sequence.
GGUCAGUCCGCCAUGGAUGGCGGACUGAGGCGAACCGAGACAGGACGUCGAGUUUCGCCGUGCC